UAGCUGGUCUGAGAGGAUGGACAGCCACACUGGGACUGAGACMCGGCCCAGACUCCUACGGGAGGCAGCAGUGGGGAAUAUUGGACAAUGGGGGCAACCCUGAUCCAGCGAUGCCGCGUGUGUGAAGAAGGCCUGAGGGUUGUAAAGCACUUUCGGUAGGGAGGAGAGUUGAUUGGUUAAGAGCUGAUUGAUGAGACGUUACCUACAGAAGAAGCACCGGCUAACUCCGUGCCASCAGCCGCGGUAAUACGGAGGGUGCGAGCGUUAAUCGGAAUUAUUGGGCGUAAAGGGUGCGUAGGKGUUGUAUAAGUUAUCUGUAAA
rnacentral:rRNA from 1 species